CAUUAUUGGAGAGUUUGAUCCUGGCUCAGGACGAACGCUGGCGGCGUGCUUAACACAUGCAAGUCGAGCGGUAAGGCCCUUCGGGGUACACGAGCGGCGAACGGGUGAGUAACACGUGGGUAAUCUGCCCUGCACUCU
rnacentral:rRNA from 1 species